rnacentral:rRNA from 1 species
GACGAACGCUGGCGGCGUGCCUAAUACAUGCAAGUUGAGCGCUGAAGGUUGGUACUUGUACCAACUGGAUGAGCAGCGAACGGGUGAGUAACGCGUGGGGAAUCUGCCUUUGAGCGGGGGACAACAUUUGGAAACGAAUGCUAAUACCGCAUAAAAACUUUAAACACAAGUUUUAAGUUUGAAAGAUGCAAUUGCAUCACUCAAAGAUGAUCCCGCGUUGUAUUAGCUAGUUGGUGAGGUAAAGGCUCACCAAGGCGAUGAUACAUAGCCGACCUGAGAGGGUGAUCGGCCACAUUGGGACUGAGACACGGCCCAAACUCCUACGGGAGGAAGCAGUAGGAAAUCUUCGGCAAUGGACGACAAUCUGACAGGGCAACGCCGCGUGAGUGAAAAAGGUUUUCGGAUCGUAAAACUCUGUUGGUAGAGAAGAACGUUGGUGAGAGUGGAAAGCUCAUCAAGUGACGGUAACUAACCAGAAAGGAACGGCUAACUACGUG